rnacentral:lncRNA from 1 species
UUUAUAGCGCUUCCAAAUACACUUCUCAUAUUAGCAAGAUCCAAGAAAUACUUGGGAAAAAUCCAAAGCAAAAGAAAGUGGAAGAAUUAACAAUAGUAGAAAGUACACUUCAGCAGAUCAACAUAGCAAAACCAACUCCCUUAGCCCAUUUGAAUACCAAAUGAUGUAGAGAAAACCUUUAGAACUCUUUAACUAUUGCUAAUAGUAAGGUGAAAGACCAAUUCCCAAUAGUUUUUGACCCAAAAAUGAUGCAGGAGUUUUAGUAUAGUUUUCAGAGUUUUUUCUUUAGCCUCUGAUUUUUGUUAGUAUUAAUCUUUAAAUUCUCUGACAAUGAAGAAACAAGCCUCUUUAUAGAAGUUUUCUAGGGCAGCAGAGUGGGUUUCAGAUUUUGCCCAUUACCCAUUUUUGAUUUUCAUUCUUUUAACUUUAAACCCCAACUUUCUAACCUGUUUGUCAAACUAC